CACUGCUUGCUACUCGAGAAGCGAGGCAGUCUGGAGUAUCCCUUCAGAAAGCUGCAGCUGUUAGACUGUGAGCUGGACACCUGGUCACUGGAGAGGCUGGGUAGGGCCGUGGCUCUCCGCUCCCUCAGCUCUGUUUCAACUACACGGACAAUUAACUUUUGGACUGAUAUGGACAGCUUCAGGGCUUCAUGCACUCUUCUAUCCCUCUUCUCAUUGUAUCUGUUGAGGGAGUGGGCAGAGAGGAUUACGCACAGAUCUGAGCCUCAACAGAACAGGAAGUAACAUAUAUGGAUAUCAUUGUGCACAAUUUUCAGGGAUGCGUUUUAGCUGGUGAGCACUACUUUCUAAACUACUGGUUGAAAUUAUAGAAAAACCUUUAUAAACACAUCUUUAUAUUAGGGAGCGAGGCAUCGCUACUGUCUGUCACCCAAUGAGCAGUAAUCUAUCUCAACAGGUUGCAGGUGUUUCCUUCUCUCGAGGCAGCUUUUGUUGUGCUCUGUUGCUUAUGUAAUUUUCUUCAGUAGAGUUUGAAGCCACUGCAUCCUGUUCCGUGCCCCUCCUCUGGAAAGCAGCGGGAUCAUCUUUAAUUCCUACAGAAUCCUGUCCAAACAAACCGACCCAGGGCUUUUGUCUGUUCCUCUAUUUAAAAAUGAAAAAAAAUUCACACGGAGGUCUCAUCCCAGACUCUCCUACUGUUACUGGGAAGCAUUUCAAACCCAUGGUAGACCGUUGUCUGCUUUCAUUAUGAUCUAUCCUGAUUUUAAUAUCCUGAUUUACAGCUCAACCAAUUCAUGUUAAAUCAGGUUGAACAGAGCGAUUACAGCGUGUUUCUGUUCAAUUCUGUCAGAGGUACCAAGAUUGAACACUUGUUUUGACAGAUGCUUCGGGGCGUUAGCCCCGCAUUCAAUUAGGGAUUGGACGUCUUUAUUUGACCAUCAAUCAGGAUGAUGAAGUGGUUUGACACCGGCGAUGUUGACAACCUAGUUUGUUCUCAUGGCAACAUGACCUUGGUUUUAUUAUUUCGGUGUUAAAUCAUUUAAUAAAGGCUAAUGUUUUGAGUCACUGUCUAAAGGCAGAGGAAGAAAGCGAAGAAGAGGGGGAGGCCAACUGAAGUUGGUCUUUGACUUGAGAAGCUCCACUAAGUCUGGAUCAGAAAGUACCAAGGGACCACUGAACUUUAUUCAGGUUAUCUGCCGGUGAGUGUAUGAAAUAUCAGCACUAGUGUCUGCUUUUCCAGGACAUGACACAGACGCACAAGCAUGGCUUAUUAUUUGUGGUGUGUCACGAGGGUCAGAGGGGCAUACAUUUCUGUCAGAGAUAGUCUGAGAGCCAUAA
rnacentral:lncRNA from 13 species